rnacentral:rRNA from 1 species
UACGGAGGGGGCAAGCGUUAUUCGGAAUCAUUGGGCGUAAAGGGCGCGUAGGCGGCCUGGCAAGUCAAAGGUGAAAUCCCUCGGCCCAACCGAGGAACCGCCUUUGAAACUGCAAGGCUCGAGGCCGGGAGAGGGUAGCGGAAUUCCCAGUGUAGCGGUGAAAUGCGUAGAUAUUGGGAGGAACACCAGUGGCGAAGGCGGCUACCUGGACCGGUUCUGACGCUGAGGCGCGAAAGCGUGGGGAGCAAACAGG